AUUGAACGCUGGCGGCAGGCUUAACACAUGCAAGUCGAGCGGGGUGAUGGUGCUUGCACUAUCACUUAGCGGCGGACGGGUGAGUAAUGCUUAGGAAUCUGCCUAUUAGUGGGGGACAACAUCUCGAAAGGGAUGCUAAUACCGCAUACGUCCUACGGGAGAAAGCAGGGGAUCACUUGUGACCUUGCGCUAAUGGAUGAGCCUAAGUCGGAUUAGCUAGUUGGUGGGGUAAAGGCCUACCAAGGCGACGAUCUGUAGCGGGUCUGAGAGGAUGAUCCGCCACACUGGGACUGAGACACGGCCCAGACUCCUACGGGAGGCAGCAGUGGGAAAUAUUGGACAAUGGGGGGAACCCUGAUCCAGCCAUGCCGCGUGUGUGAAGAAGGCCUUAUGGUUGUAAAGCACUUUAAGCGAGGAGGAGGCUCUUUUGGUUAAUACCCAAGAUGAGUGGACGUUACUCGCAGAAUAAGCACCGGCUAACUCUGUGCCAGCAGCCGCAGUAA
rnacentral:rRNA from 1 species